UACAGAGGAUGCAAGCGUUAUCCGGAAUGAUUGGGCGUAAAGCGUCUGUAGGUGGCUUUUUAAGUCCGCCGUCAAAUCCCAGGGCUCAACUCUGGACAGGCGGUGGAAACUACCAAGCUGGAGUACGGUAGGGGCAGAGGGAAUUUCCGGUGGAGCGGUGGAAUGCGCAGAUAUCAGGAGGAACACCGGUGGCGAAGGCGGUUCUCUGGGCAUUACCUGACGCUGAGGAGCGAAAGCAUGGGGAGCGAACAGG
rnacentral:rRNA from 1 species